AUGCUUAGGAAUCUGCCUAUUAGUGGGGGACAACAUUCCGAAAGGAAUGCUAAUACCGCAUACGCCCUACGGGGGAAAGCAGGGGAUCUUCGGACCUUGCGCUAAUAGAUGAGCCUAAGUCAGAUUAGCUAGUUGGUGGGGUAAAGGCCUACCAAGGCGACGAUCUGUAGCGGGUCUGAGAGGAUGAUCCGCCACACUGGGACUGAGACACGGCCCAGACUCCUACGGGAGGCAGCAGUGGGGAAUAUUGGACAAUGGGCGAAAGCCUGAUCCAGCCAUGCCGCGUGUGUGAAGAAGGCCUUUUGGUUGUAAAGCACUUUAAGCGAGGAGGAGGCUACUUGGAUUAAUACUCUAGGAUAGUGGACGUUACUCGCAGAAUAAGCACCGGCUAACUCUGUGCCAGCAGCCGCGGUAAUACAGAGGGUGCGAGCGUUAAUCGGAUUUACUGGGCGUAAAGCGUGCGUAGGCGGCUUUUUAAGUCGGAUGUGAAAUCCCUGAGCUUAACUUAGGAAUUGCAUUCGAUACUGGGAAGCUAGAGUAUGGGAGAGGAUGGUAGAAUUCCAGGUGUAGCGGUGAAAUGCGUAGAGAUCUGGAGGAAUACCGAUGGCGAAGGCAGCCAUCUGGCCUAAUACUGACGCUGAGGUACGAAAGCAUGGGGAGCAAACAGGAUUAGAUACCCUGGUAGUCCAUGCCGUAAACGAUGUCUACUAGCCGUUGGGGCCUUUGAGGCUUUAGUGGCGCAGCUAACGCGAUAAGUAGACCGCCUGGGGAGUACGGUCGCAAGACUAAAACUCAAAUGAAUUGACGGGGGCCCGCACAAGCGGUGGAGCAUGUGGUUUAAUUCGAUGCAACGCGAAGAACCUUACCUGGUCUUGACAUAGUAAGAACUUUCCAGAGAUGGAUUGGUGCCUUCGGGAACUUACAUACAGGUGCUGCAUGGCUGUCGUCAGCUCGUGUCGUGAGAUGUUGGGUUAAGUCCCGCAACGAGCGCAACCCUUUUCCUUAUUUGCCAGCGGGUUAAGCCGGGAACUUUAAGGAUACUGCCAGUGACAAACUGGAGGAAGGCGGGGACGACGUCAAGUCAUCAUGGCCCUUACGACCAGGGCUACACACGUGCUACAAUGGUCGGUACAAAGGGUUGCUACCUAGCGAUAGGAUGCUAAUCUCAAAAAGCCGAUCGUAGUCCGGAUUGGAGUCUGC
rnacentral:rRNA from 1 species